UGACCAUCCCGAGCGGCUGAGAGAUCUGGCUCACUGACGCCGCAGCAACCCUGGCCACCGCCUCCCGCGGUGACAGUAGGGUGCUACUGCCAGAACGAUGGAGG
rfam:Arthrobacter agilis strain 4042 Contig30, whole genome shotgun sequence.